GCUUUUAGGCGCAGCAGCAAGGAGGGCGAGGGCGAGUGGAACAGAGGUCGGAGACCUUGCUAAGCUGCUGGCCUUUUCACGUUUCGGACCCUGAGAAUAUGUCCACCGCAUUACAAAUGGGAUUCUCUGGCAUCUGACCAACCCUCACAAUGGCUACUGGCCAUCUCAUGCCCAACAGGACAAUGCUUAUUUCCACCAGGAGAUGGCGCAUGCCUUUUUUUUUUUUUUUUUAAAUCCCCAGGAAGGUCUCAGUGCUGCAAAAGCUCCAUGACCAUUCUGCUUCUAAACUGACGGAGCAAACAUAUAUUUCCAGUGGUAAUGCUAGGAAAUACUUUGCUAAGGAUGUUACUUUGGUCCUUCAGCCAGUGGUCAGAGAACAGAAUGACCAUACUGCAACCACCCAUGGUGAACUGACUGGCACACCUACAAAAAUCUUAUCUUUGGGGUCCCCAUAGUACCCAGUGGAUUGCCUUGCACAUUGUAGGUGCUCAGUAUGUGUUUGCUAAAGACAUGACCCUGGAUAAAUCACUUCACCUCAAUUAGUCUGUUUCCCAAAUCUGAAAAUAAAAGCAGUGAAAUGGACAAGGUGACAGUUAAGGCCUUGAAUCAGAAGAGCCUCUGACAAUGUGACAAAUAGCUUAGCCAUUCCUCCAAGACUGAGAUAAAAUGUCACUCUUGGUUCAGGAGCUGUGGCAGUAGGAGAACAUCAGGCAACUAGUCCUAGACUUAUCAUCAUCCCCAUGGAAGGAGUGUGAUUGUAAGUCUCUCUGAGGACAUCACCAGGGACUUACCUCUUGCCUUCACAUCCUGAAGAGCUGACAGUUCUCUGUAUGGCCUUCCUCUUUACACUGUUUUCCUUCAGCAAGUUCACAUCUCGGGGAAACAAACCUUCCAUCAGGUCCAUUGUUGUCUUCAGCCUGGAGUCUGGAUCCAAAAUGUCUGCUAGAGAUUUGUCUUGGUGGACAAUUUCCUUGGCCAAAGCCUCUGUUCUGAUGUCUUCUGAACUCUUCUGAGGAUCAGGACUGACUUUCUUUUCUAAACCCUGAGUUCCACUGACUGGAUCAUGGCUGAGGCUUUGAGUCUGGAUGGGUGCUGGCUGCCCACCAAGAGACCCAGCAAGUUGGGCGUGAACGCUCAUGAAGGAGGGUGGUGUGGACUCAGCCUCUGAACCCUUGAUAGAAGUUUGGAGUCUGGAAGCCAGUGUCUGACUACCUACCACAUGGGCUGCACCAGGCAUGUGCCUUUCCCUUGCAAUUGUCACUUUAGAAAGUUUGUUGAAGCUGCCAGGGAUAUUUAAAAAAAAAAAAAAAAGAGAGAGAGAGAAAGAGAGAGUGAUAAGAGAAGGGUGAUGAUAAGAGGGUGGAGAAAGACUGAGGGAGAAGCUUUCCACAUCAGGGCUGUAGCUUUCCACAUCUUCCACAUGUUACUGACAGAGCUAAUGUUAAAGAAUAUGGCUUCUGAUUAUAAGUGGGUCUCCUGAUACUGAACCCCGAAACUAAAAACAUUUACCUACCUAGUCACAGGUCAUGCUAGACACACAAACAUACAUAGAUAUAUACAUAGGAGUAGGGUGAGAUAGUCACAUUUGAGAUCAACCCCUUCUUUAGAAAACAACAGCACUCUAAAGGGGCUCCUGAGCCCAGCAGCUGGUCAGGAGGUUGUCAUCUCCUGAGGAAGAUGGACUAGGAAUUCAGUUCUGGUGAAUGUUGCUGUUAGAUUCCAGAGAUUUCUGAAAGGUCUAGGUUAACAGGGGUAGUGGUAGUAAGUCACUCUUGUGGUGUUUAAAGAAAGCCACUCAAAAGGUGCUGUCAGGCAAUGUGUUUUUUUGGUGUUUUGAGAGAUUACUUGUUCUAGGGACUAUGUGUUGGGGAAUGCUUCUUUCUCAUUCUCCUAGCUUCCAAGAGGUUUUCCCUAAACAUUACUGACCUUGAGCCCUACUCUUUAUUCCUCCCUAUGGACAUGGAGUGAUUUUGGAAAGAGAAGCUGAGCAUUCACAUCCCAGUCUCUCUUCUCUUUUGAGACUGAGGCUGCCUCAAGGCUGUAUAUAUUAAUAUCUAUGUGUAUUUGUGUGUCUAACAUGACCUUUGAUGAGGUAGGUAAAGCUGUUUAACUUGGGGGUUCAGUAUCAAGAGACCCACUUACAAUCUGAAGCCAUAUUCUUUAAUGUUAGCUCUGUCAGUAAUAAAAGUGAUGUUUUUGUCUUCUA